AUUGAACGCUGGCGGCAUGCCUUACACAUGCAAGUCGAACGGUAACGCGGGGCAACCUGGCGACGAGUGGCGAACGGGUGAGUAACGCAUCGGAACGUGCCCAGUAGUGGGGGAUAGCCCGGCGAAAGCCGGAUUAAUACCACAUACGACCUACGGGUGAAAGAGGGGGAUCGCAAGACCUCUCGCUAUUGGAGCGGCCGAGCUCAGAUUAGGUAGUUGGUGGGGUAAAGGCCUACCAAGCCUACGAUCUGUAGCUGGUCUGAGAGGACGACCAGCCACACUGGGACUGAGACACGGCCCAGACUCCUACGGGAGGCAGCAGUGGGGAAUUUUGGACAAUGGGCGCAAGCCUGAUCCAGCCAUGCCGCGUGCGGGAAGAAGGCCUUCGGGUUGUAAACCGCUUUUGUCAGGGAAGAAACGCUCUGGACUAAUACUCUGGGGUAAUGACGGUACCUGAAGAAUAAGCACCGGCUAACUACGUGCCAGCAGCCGCCGCGG
rnacentral:rRNA from 1 species